rnacentral:lncRNA from 1 species
UAAUGAGUCAUUCAACCAUACAACUAUCGUUCAAGAGCCUUUCUUAUUUACACAUCUCCCACUUAUGACUACGGGACAUAAUGCUUUUUCUCAUUUACGCACCCAUCAAACAUCUAAUGAGCCAUUCGACCGUACGACCAUCUUUCAAGACCCUUUUCUGAUUUACACAUUUCCCACUUUCGACUACGGGACACAAUGCUUGGGUCCUUCAACCAUACAACCCUCUUUCUGAUGGGUCAUUCAACCAUGCAACCCUCUUUCUGAUGGGUCAUUCAAACCAUCUUGCCAUUUUUGUCUACGGGGCACAAUGCUUUGCAAAAACCACGCAGAACUCCUUAAAGUUACUGUUGACAAUGUUCAGAUUCAGAAUUUUAUAUGUGCACAAGGGCCGUGCUUCAAACAAGUUACAAUUCGUGCUAAUAACAAACUGUUCUACCAAAUUCACCAAUUUAAAACAAGAGACAUGCAAGUAAAAAAGAAUAGGAACAUAUAAGGAAAAAGUUAAGCAUGUGGGCCCAUUUCAAGCAAAACGCACACACCAUAAAAAUAAUAACCUAAAGUUCAUCUUGCACAAUCGAAUCUACAUCUUAAUGCUUUAAUUAGGCCACAUAGAUGUCGUGAAUAUUCUAAUAAUAUGU